GGACGGGUGAGUAACGCGUGAGAAUCUGCCUUCAGGUCGGGGACAACAGCUGGAAACGGCUGCUAAGACCCGAUGUGCCGAAAGGUGAAAGGUUUACUGCCUGAAGAUGAGCUCGCGUCCGAUUAGCUAGUUGGUAGGGUAAGAGCCUACCAAGGCGUCGAUCGGUAACUGGUCUGAGAGGACGACCAGUCACACUGGGACUGAGACACGGCCCAGACUCCUACGGGAGGCGGCAGUGGGGAAUUUUCCGCAAUGGGCGAAAGCCUGACGGAGCAAGACCGCGUGAGGGACGAAGGCUCUUGGGUUGUAAACCUCUUUUCUCAGGGAAGAAACCUGACGGUACCUGAGGAAUAAGCAUCGGCUAACUCCGUGCCAGCAGCCGCGGUAAUACGGAGGAUGCAAGCGUUAUCCGGAAUUAUUGGGCGUAAGGCGUUCGCAGGUGGCUGUUCAAGUCUGCUGUCAAAGACCGGGGCUUAACCCUAGAAAGGCAGUGGAAACUGAGCGGCUAGAGUGCAGUAUGGGUAGAGGGAAUUCCCAGUGUAGCGGUGAAAUGCGUAGAGAUUGGGAAGAACACCGGUGGCGAAAGCGCUCUGCUGGACUGCAACUGACACUGAGGGACGAAAGCUAGGGGAGCGAAAGGGAUUAGAUACCCCUGUAGUCCUAGCCGUAAACGAUGGAUACUAGGCGUUGCCGGGCUCGACCCUGGCAGUGUCGGAGCUAACGCGUUAAGUAUCCCGCCUGGGAAGUACGCACGCAAGUGUGAAACUCAAAGGAAUUGACGGGGGCCCGCACAAGCGGUGGAGUAUGUGGUUUAAUUCGAUGCAACGCGAAGAACCUUACCAGGGCUUGACAUGUCGCGAAUCCCGGUGAAAGCUGGGAGUGCCUUCGGGAGCGCGAACACAGGUGGUGCAUGGCUGUCGUCAGCUCGUGUCGUGAGAUGUUGGGUUAAGUCCCGCAACGAGCGCAACCCUCGUUUUCAGUUGCCAUCAUUAAGUUGGGAACUCUGAAGAGACUGCCGGUGACAAACCGGAGGAAGGUGGGGAUGACGUCAAGUCAGCAUGCCCCUUACGUCCUGGGCAACACACGUACUACAAUGCUGCGGACAGAGGGUAGCAAGCCGGCGACGGCAAGCCAAUCCCGUAAACCGUGGCUCAGUUCAGAUCGAAGCUUGCAACUCAGCUUCGUGAAGGCGGAAUCGCUAGUAAUCGCAGGUCAGCAUACUGCGGUGAAUACGUUCCCGGGCCCUGUACACACCGCCCGUCACACCAUGGGAGCUGGUUUAGCCCGAAGUCGUUACUCUAACCCUUGGGGGGAGGACGCCGAAGGCUGGGCUGGUGACUGGGGUGAAGUCGUAACAAGGUAACC
rnacentral:rRNA from 1 species